UAUAAAUGCACCGGCUCUAUCUGCAAACAUACAGAGACAGCAAUUUCUUUCAGUUAGCAGUCGAUCAAGUGGCCCAACGUGAAAGUACUGAUAUGAAGCUCACGUUGCUUGUCCGGGAGACAGGGGGAAAGAGGCAACAGGUGAGCUUAAAUAUGGUGCAUGCAUAGCAGCAUGUAAUGUGGAAAACAAAAAUGAACACAAAAAUGCAAGAUUAACACAAAAUGAAAGUGUGCUUUUAAGAAAUAACUACAAAGAGCUUCAUAUAAAAGAGAGCAGUCUCUCUCAGGCUCCUUCAGUGUUCAUUUCGCUCUUGUGAAGGGAUGCUGGAGAACCUAGACCAGUUUGUCUGUUCACUUGUCUGUUCAUCUGGCAUUCAAUGAGAUAAAGAUUUAUGGUCCCAGUGACUGAAAAACAAUAGUCCCUAAAGUAAAACCAAAGGCACAUUUUGAAGGUUGUCAUGGUCCUGGGCCAUGUGGGCCCAGCAUUCUUAGUUUUCAUGUAUUUUUGUAUUUUGUUCUUUAUUUAGGCCAUGCUUCCUGGGUUGAUCUGUUACGUUGUUCCUUAUGUGUUUUCCCUUCGUGACUCUUACCCCCUGUGUGCCCCUCUGUGUAUUUAUGAGCCCUCGUCUCCCUUUGUGGUUGUUUCAUGUUUCCCCAGCCCGUUAUGUCUGUGUUUUUCCCCGUGCUCUCUCUCCUCCUGUCUGAACCUCUGUGCCUGUACAUGUCAUGUUCAGUUCACCCAGCCCUGUCUCGUUAUGAUUAUCAGUGUCACCUGUGUUCCCCGUGUGUGCCCACUUUCCUCGUUUACCCUCUGUGUAUUUCUGUCUGAGUCUCCCUCUGUUCGGUGUCGUGUUCUCCCUCAUGCUGUGUGUGAUUCCCCUGUGUUCCUUGGUGAGCUUUAUGUUAGUUUUUCCCAGUUUAGUUUUGUAUUGUUUCUCGUGGCCAGCAAUAAAGCUGUGUUUUUGAGUUCACCCCCGUGUCGUACUACGGUGUACAUUUUAGGACAUCGUCAGGUAUCAGACAAAAAAUUGUCAGGUGUCAGUUGUCAAAAAAAAAAGUUGUCAGGUAUCAGAAAAAAAAUUGUCAGGUGUCAGAAAAAAAAUUGUCAGGUGUCAGUUGUCAAAAAAAAAAAAAGUCAGGUAUCAGAAAAAAAAUUGUCAGGUGUCAGAAAAAAAGUUGUCAGGUGUCAGAAAAAAAAUUGUCAGGUGUCAGUUGUCCAAAAAAAAAAAAGUCAGGUAUCAGAAAAAAAAUUGUCAGGUGUCAGAAAAAAAGUUGUCAGGUGUCAGACAAAAAAUUGUCAGGUGUCAGUUGUCAAAAAAAAAAAAGUCAGGUAUCAGAAAAAAAAUUGUCAGGUGUCAGAAAAAAAGUUGUCAGGUGUCAGAAAAAAAGUUGUCAGGUGUCAGAAAAAAAAUUGUCAGGUGUCAGUUGUCCAAAAAAAAAAAAGUCAGGUGUCAGAAAAAAAAUUGUCAGGUGUCAGAAAAAAAGUUGUCAGGUGUCAGAAAAAAAGUUGUCAGGUGUCAGACAAAAAAGUUGUCAGGUGUCAGAAAAAAAAUUGUCAGGUAUCAGAACACAAGGUACCAGAGAGAAAAUCUUCCUGCAGGUGGCGCUGUUGUCAUGUCCCACCCGAAUUGAUUUCCAAAUACGUCAUCAACGUGUGACCGUGGGAGAGCGUAAGGUCAUUGACCUCACCGGAGUUUUACCGUGGUUCAGGCUCCUAACGACACAAGGUAAGUUUAACUUUUUCUCCCUUUUGUUCAUAUUUUUGCCACAGUUGUGUUAUAUUAAGUUGCAGUUAUGUUGUGAAAGUUACAUAUCAGAGACGGAAAGCCAGUUUUGUACGAAACCAAAUCAGUACUAUUUUUGUCUGGCUAAUUCAUUCUAGCUAGCGACAGUGGUGAAACGUGAUUCAAAUUUAAACUGUUCAGUAAUUGUUUUGUAUACAUUUCAGCAAAUGGACAAGCUGAAAGCUUACGAGCAGCCUGCAUCCUUUCUGUCGCUCUUUUUCUUUAUUUCUCUUUUCUAUAUUGCUACUGUCGGGAUAUUUUUUGAUCCCGAUUUUUUUUUCUGUUAUUGUUUUUAGACUUUGCUGCAAUAUGUCAUCUGACGAUGAUGAAAGGAGUAUCCGACUCUGGCUGGUUCCCAUGACUGUACCAAAAAUACUUUUUUUUUUAUUAAAAAAAGAGCAUUAAAAAUAAAUGACUAAAGUACAACUUAUUUAUUAACUACUGUUCACCUAUUUAAUAUCAAAGAAGUGUAUUUUUUGCUACACGUUUUAUUUGUGGGCACUGAAUUGACGAUGCUUUUAGUGUAAUUGCCACAUAAAAAGAUUUAGUACUUUACUGGUUAAUUACUUAUGUUCAGUGUAAGAGGUGGGUGAUCAAUUAGACUGUUGUUGUUACACUUAACCUUUCAAGAUAUGAUGAUAAUAACAUUGUUCAACAAAGGCUUAAAACAAAAGGAAAUCAGCUGUGCACUGAAUUCAUAUGGGCAUAAAAUAAGUGAGAGGCAUCUGAGACGAGUUUUAAAACUUCUAGGGUUGAAGCGAAGAUGCCCCCAACGACCUUUUACUGAAAUCCAC
ensembl:lncRNA